rnacentral:rRNA from 1 species
AGAGUUUGAUCAUGGCUCAGGACUAACGCUGGCGGCGUGCCUAACACAUGCAAGUCGAACGAGGUAGCAAUACCUAGUGGCAGACGGGUGAGUAACACGUGGUCAACCUACCUCUAUGUGGGGGAUAACUAGCCGAAAGGUUAGCUAAUACCGCAUACGAUCGUCGAGGGGCAUCCCUUGGCGAUGAAAGGAGCAAUCCG